rnacentral:rRNA from 1 species
GUGCCAGCCGCCGCGGUAAUACGAAGGGGGCUAGCGUUGUUCGGAAUUACUGGGCGUAAAGCGCACGCAGGCGGAUUGAUUAGUCGGGGGUGAAAUCCCGGGGCUCAACCUCGGAAUUGCCUUCGAUACUGUCAGUCUUGAGUCCGGGAGAGGUGAGUGGAAUUCCUAGUGUAGAGGUGAAAUUCGUAGAUAUUAGGAAGAACACCAGUGGCGAAGGCGGCUCACUGGCCCGGUACUGACGCUCAUGUGCGAAAGCGUGGGGAGCAAACAGGAUUAGAAACCCCGGUAGUCC